UGGCUUGACCAAAACUUAAAUAUGUAAGAUGUAUAAUUAAACAGAAGCAAAAUCGGAAAUUAGCAAAGAAAUUUUAGAAGUUUAUAUAGUUUAGGAGAUGGAAUUAAAUGGAGUUUGUGAAAGUGUUGGAUUUGCAGGCAAGAACGGCUGUCAAAAGACUUUUUGCUUUGGGUUUUUGGGCUUCCCUUAUUGACUUUGUUGUCUUUAUUGUAUAGUAUUUCUUUAAUUAUUGUUUGUACUAAUGUUACAGCCAGUCAGAUGGGACUACUUGUUUUUUUCUUUCUUUUACUACAGCUGUGUUUCCGUUUUGUUUCCUUUUCUAACAGUGAAAAUAUUUAAUUUAAGUGGUAAAAUGAAAAGGAAAGUUUAAGGAAU
rnacentral:lncRNA from 1 species